rnacentral:ncRNA from 1 species
GGCGGAGAGCUACCAAGAGAGGAUAGUCAGCAUUUGAGGUACUCUUACCGGCUUAGAUACCUAGAAAUUAGAGAUUUGUCCCUGAUCCGAUGAUGAUGGUAUGUAUGCUACCUGCAAGGUGGAUAUGCAAUUAUAUGACCAAAUCAUGUGAGUGGCCAUGACCCUCUGAAGUAGGGCAGUAAUGUGUCAUCUGAAAAGCACCCAUGGUUUGGUUGAGACCGGACAAUAGGGGCCUUGGGAAAACACCUACCGCUGCGGGAGCGUAAAUGGAGUGCCUAGCAAAUGAUGCUCAUUUUCACGCUUAAACGUUACUAUGAUGUUGUUCACUCAACAGGGAUACUGACUCUGGGGGAGGGGAGGGAACAGGGAUAACUGGGAAUUAUAGUACGAACCUUUCCUCCGGAGACCUUGUUUGAAAGUCAACGUGAAAAACUCCCAAAAUAGUCAAAUGCCUCGUCAUCUAAUUAGUGACAAGCAUGAAUGGAUUAACAAGAUCCCCACUGUCCCUAUCUACUAUCUAGCGAACCCACAGCCAAAAGAACGGGCUUGGCAGAAUGU